CUUUUCGGGGUCGAGUCCGAAGCGGAAGAGGUUUGUUAAUAUGUUUGCCAUGUGCUACGCUCUUGGGACGAACUGAGCCACGAGCGUGGCUUUGAGGGCCGUCCGAACGCUGCAGGCCGGCCAGGUCCCUGGGCGUCCAGGCCUGGCCUACGCUCCACUUUGUCCCUUAGCGUUUAAAGGUUUCUUCCCGAAUCUCAGGCCCUCAGCUACCUGCAGGUUUCGUCGCGAGCCGGCUGCAAGUUUUGAACCUAAGUAAACCUCAAUCCGGAGGGCCUAGCGGUAAGGUGGGCGCUGUGUCUAUUGAAGUGCUUAGCAAUAAAGCAAAGGUAGUGAGUUGAUUCGG
rnacentral:lncRNA from 1 species